AUGAAACGGAGGCACUCCCGCCGAACCGGGUCACCCUCAGGGCGGGCGGCAGCGCCCGGUGCCAGCUCUUUGUCUGCCCGCUCCCCUCGCAGGGCAGGGCACGGCCCGGCCCUCCCGGCCUCACAAAGCCCCUCCUGGGGGCACGAGGGCGGGCAGAGGGUCCCGGCCCGAGCCGCUCUCCCCGGUUGGGGCCGCGGGCGCGAGGAGGCAGCGGCGGCCAUGACCGGCGGUGGGGGCCCUCNAAUUCCUUCUUUUACGCUCCUAUCAGAAGGACCUCUCCAGUUGCUAAGGAACUACGGGCUUUAUUGCAUUAUAAAUGAUUUAAGGCGGCCCGGCAGAUGCAGGUUCAGUAGGCGGGAGGAGAUGAGGAGAUGUUCCAUUUUACCGGCGGCACGAGGCGCCUCAGGAGGAGCCGGGGGGGGCCGACCCUGUUCCCCCCCCUCCUCCCUUUCUCCUCCUUCCCUCCCUUCCCCCCGAGGGGCCCCAAAUCACGAAGGAUUCCCCCCAAAGCCGGGGUCGCCCCCCCACCCGCGGGGCUGCCCACAGCGCACCCGCCGCCAUAGCAACGCGCCCCCCUCCCGGCUCCCCCGCCGCCGCCCUCCCUCACCGUUCUGCGCCGCGGCGGGUCCCGGCAGCAGCGCGGCCGUCGCCAGCAGCAGCGAGAAGGCGGCGGGGAGCGGCCCGGAGCGCGGCAUCUUCCUGAGGCAGGGGCAGGAGGAAGAGGAGGAGGAGGAAGGUGAGGAGGAGGGUGAGGCGGCGGCGGGAGCGGCGGCGGCUCCGUCCGUCCUUCUCCGCCGACCUCCUACCGCAGCGCAGCGCCGCUCUCGCGAGAUCCGCGGGGCGGGGGGCGACGCCGCCGGGGAGGGGACGGGCGAGGCGGGCGGGCGGUGUCAGCGCUCCCUGCUCCGACCCCUCCGGCCGCGGCUCCGUCUAUUGUUUCCUGCCCCCGCUGCGUGCGGCUCCCGGCGCCGCGCACCCCUUCGCGCGCCAACGCCGCCCAAUCAGAGCCCGCCGCCGGGGGGCGCCGACCAAUCAGCGGAGGGAGAGGGGGCGGUGACAGGGAGCGCGCGGCGGUCACGUGGGACGGCUCCCCCUGGGAGCCGCCAUUUUCCGGAGCGCCCCGGCGCGCUCUUAAAGGGGCCGCGCCCGGUGCUGAGGGGCAGCGGGUUCUGGGUCCGCUCCUGA
rnacentral:lncRNA from 1 species